rfam:Strongylocentrotus purpuratus Contig49790_fixed, whole genome shotgun sequence.
CCAACAGUCCUUUUCAGGACUACACACUAAAGAAAGAAAGAUUAC